rnacentral:lncRNA from 1 species
AGCCUUUCAUUCUCUCAAAAUCCCCCACAUCCGACCAAGACGCCGGCGAGUUCACACGGUGGCUCCGCCGUAGCUCUGCCGUGUCGGAAAGUAAGAAAAAAGUUUUAAAUGCCCUUUUUUAAAACACAAGCCCAAUUUAUUUCUUUUCCCCUUUUUUAAAAAAACAAGAACGAAAAUGAAAUGAGGAAAAAAAUGAAACUUUGGCUCACUAUUUAUGGCCGAUUUCGGUGAUGGAGGGAGGACCUCCGACGACGUGGCCGCAGGACGUCUCAGGUGAGCCCUUCCUUUUUCUUUCUUUUUUUAUUUUUAUUAUUUAGUAUGUAAAAAAAAUGAAAAUAAAAUAAAAAAAGAAUCAAACAAGACAAUGAAAAUUUCACCUCUGAAAUCUGUUUUCUGUUUUCUUUUUUUCUUUAUUUAAUUCGUAAAAGAAGAGAAAAAAAUACAAAGAGGAAGUUUUGGCUUUUAUAGCCAAGUUACAACCUUUUCGUUUCUAUUUUUUUUUUGUUUUUUCUAGUUGUUUCUUCCGUGGUCUUGUAUUGAUUUCUCUCUACAGGUGUCAGAGGCGUGCAACGCCCGUGGAGGUGGCGGUGGUUGGCCUGUAGCUGCAAUGUCAGAGGUGGCAGAGGCUUGCGGCUAGGGUUAGGCAGUAGGCUAGGGUUUCAAUUUUUUUCUGAAAAGUUUUAAACAUUUUGGGCCAUUGGGCCUUCAUUUUUUUGGGUUGUAAUUUUAAUUAUUUUUGGGCUUGUAAUUUGUAACUGGACAUUUAAGAUUUGGACUUUUUGGUUUAUUUUUUGUUUUGGUUUUCUAGUGGGCCGAGCAAAUUUGUGCCUGAGCAAAAGGUAUUCAAGAAGGCAAGUAACAUAAUGGAUCCUAUUGGAACUUCUUAUUGGCUUUGCGUUCAGUGGUAUUUGUGGAGUUUUAUUGUGGUUACAGAAUUUGUGAAGUGUGAUUACUAGUAGUGAAGUAUGGUUGAA